GGCGCUAUGGUGUAGUGGCAGCACAUGGGAUUUUGAUGAGUCGUCAACUCGUUUAUUCUUCCCAUAACCCAGGUUCGAACCCUGGUAGUGCCU